AGAGUUUGAUCAUGGCUCAGAGUGAACGCUGGCGGCGUGCCUAACACAUGCAAGUCGAACGAGAACGGAUAUAAGUUUACUUAUAUUGUCAGCUAAGUGGCGCACGGGUGAGUAAUAUAUAGUUAAUCUGCCCUGAAGAAGAGAAUAAUUGUUGGAAACGACUUGUAAUGCUCUAUAUGCCUUUAUCACAUAAGUGAGCAAGGGAAAUAUUUAUAGCUUCGGGAUGAGACUGUACGGUAUCAGCUAGUUGGUGAGGUAAUGGCUCACCAAGGCAAUGACAUCUAACUGGUUUGAGAGGAUGAUCAGUCACACUGGAACUGAGACACGGUCCAGACUCCUACGGGAGGCAGCAGUGGGGAAUAUUGCACAAUGGAGGAAACUCUGAUGCAGCAACGCCGCGUGGAGGAUGACACAUUUCGGUGCGUAAACUCCUUUUAUUAGGGAAGAUAAUGACGGUACCUAAUGAAUAAGCACCGGCUAACUCCGUGCCAGCAGCCGCGGUAAUACGGGGGGUGCAAGCGUUACUCGGAAUCACUGGGCGUAAAGAGCAUGUAGGCUGAUUAGUAAGUUGGAAGUGAAAUCCUAUGGCUCAA
rnacentral:rRNA from 1 species